AACCCAAUCUCAGAAACCAUAAUCCCAGAGCCGUCGGUCGAUUCGUUUCUCAUUCACUUCAUCUUCUCCGUUUCCCUUCUCGCGAUCUUCAUCACUACUAAUAAUCAAACCUCCUCUCCCAUCUUUAAUGUCUUUCGUUUCACUUCCCUCUCUAUCUAUUUCUUAUAAACCUCUUCACCUUUUGUUGCUUUGUUCUGUUCUCUCCAAUCCAAUCGUAGCUCAAUUGUUCUCUAAUAUUCUCCGGAACGAGCUCACAAAGUACCCAGAAGCGUUGAGCUUGAUCUGUGAGAAGAGGAUUCAUGGGUGUCACGUUUAGGAUUUCAAAGAUUGGUAGAAAGUUUGGGCAGAGGGUUUCUACUGAAUCGUGUGAUCCUGACUCUCAAGUCUCAAGAGCACCUGAAGAAUCCGAAAGCAAUCGUUCUAACAGGGAAAUCAAAGGCAGUUUCUCUAAAAAAAUUCUAAAUUUUGAGCGUUUAGGCAUUGUUGAAAGCCAUGGUGGUGAAUUUCUGUAGCCAUCUUUACUUGAAAUAUCUCCAGAGCAUGAAGUUUCCUUCGUAUUGAGUCUCUAUCUGAAUGUGUACUCUUUAGGAAAACCCUCUGAGCCAGUUUUCAGAGGCAAGAAGUUUCUUUUUCAACAAAAGUUGGGUCUCUUUUAUUUGUCAAAAUAUGCGACACUGCGGUAGACUACUAAAUCAAGGUUUCAUCAGAUGCUGACAGGACCUUAUAACUCAGUACGCCAAGCUAGAAGAGGACUACGGAGAUCCCACCAUUUAUCCAAGAAAUUCUUGAGAAAGCUAUCUUGCUCUCCAAGAGAAGCAAGCCCAAGCCAAAAGACUCCAACUAACCAACUGCUCUCUCCUAUUAAUUUCCUCUCUUUUAAUACUAAAUCUCUUGAGUGUAACUGCUUCCUCUUCUCUUUAUUUUGCAGGUACAAGCCACGUGACUGGAUCAUAUCAGUGUCCCACAUCUUUGAUCGCCAUCGGCGUCCAGCUGCAGUAACGUUUGCAAUUCACGGAGGGAACAACUACCUUGGAGAUGAUAUUCCUGGUGGUACAUGUGUCUCCUGCAAAAGCUCUAAUGGACAAAGGUUAAGUGGUGAUGAGCAGAGUAAGAGAUUGAUGGAAUCCCCUCAAACCAGACACCCCCAUCCGGUGGAAAACAAAAGCUGCACUGCACAACUAUGAGGGGAUCAAUCCAGGGGAAGACCAGAUUAAAUAUGAGAAGGGUUUGUAAACUUUACAAAAAACUUUAAACAAAAUGGAGUUCACCUUGGCAAAAAGAAUAAAAACAAGGUGAAGUCCAUUGAAAGAAGAAGAAUUUAAACUUUCUAGAGGUUCCUUAACCAUGAUAGCAUAAGGGUCCUUGAAGUUCUUCUUGUGCUGUUUCCCCCAAGAUAGUGUCUCUGAUGUUGCGAUCAAUAAGCUUGCAAAUCGUUGAGGGAGUUGAUGAGGUACCAUCAUGAAGUCGUUUGUUUCUUUCAGCCCAUAUGCAAUAGAUAGUCGCAUGGGAGACGAGUCUCUUAAGAACCAGAGGAGCAUGAGAGUCUUUUAGAGAUAACCAUUCAAAUAAAGCUGUCCAAGUGUGAAAUCCCGAAUGGUUAUAACCAAGUCUUCGAAGAAUCAGUGUCCAUAUCUGCUUGCUAACUUCGCAGCGAAGGAGAAGGUGGUCUCUCGACUCUAUGGCAGAAUCACAGAGACAGCAGUUUGCUGAGUUUCCAAGGCCCCAACUAAGAAGACGAGCGCGGGUUGGCAUUCUGUCGUAUUGAGCUAUCCACAUGAGGAAUGCGUGUCGCGGUGUUGCUGACUUAAACCAGAUAGACUCAGCCCAUGGAACCGUUACAUCUCUGUUUCUUAAUGCCUCCCGAGUACGAGAAGUAGAGUAACUUGUCAAGGCGUCUCCAUCAACUGGCUGAGAGAAGGUAGAUGAAUAUUGGUAAGGUGAAUCUGCAAGGUUUCUGCAGCAGGAGAUUUUGCGCCUCGAAGACGCCAGCCAUUAUCAUCACAAGAAUCACUUACCGUAGCAAACAGAGGGAUGGAGAGUUCACGAGGUCCACUACUGCCAAAUAAAUCUUACUGAAGCUCAAUUAUAAUUUUGUUUUUCUUUUCCAAAAAAUAACUUAUGGUUUACUCGGCCAUGUUUUAAUCUUCAACCAUAAGUGAAAUACGAAUUUAAAAUUUGUUAUCUAUAAACUAUUUAAACAUCUUUGAUGGUGAAAGAAAUGAAAACAACGCCAAGUUUAAUAGACG